AUCAUCAUCAUCAUCAGAAGGAUAUUUAGAGCGGAUAGAUGGCUUGGACUUCUGCAGAGAUAGCAAUGUCUCCUUGAAGUUCAACAAGAAAACCAAAGGGCUCAUUGAUGGCCUUACCAAAUUUUUUACCCCUUCCCCUGAUGGGCGGAAAGCUCGGGGGGAAGUGGUGGACUACUCCGAGCAAUAUCGAAUCAGAAAGAGGGGCAACAGGAAAUCAAGCACUUCAGAUUGGCCCACGGACAAUCAGGAUGGCUGGGAUGGCAAACAAGAAAAUGAGGAGCGACUUUUUGGGAGCCAGGAAAUCAUGACUGAGAAAGAUAUGGAAUUAUUUCGUGAUAUCCAAGAACAAGCACUGCAGGUAAAGUUGGAUAUUCAGGUUAGACAAUCAAGCAACUUGUUCAUGGCUGAGAAACAGCAGAUUAAUUACAUUGUGGGUUAAGCAGUAACAGCAGUUUGCCUAAUCUCAGAAUAGUUGUGGUUUGUGUGUGUAUGUAGUUCUGCUGUUUAUAAUAUUCCUUUCAAACCCAUGAUAACUGCUUUGGUUUUGCAGAUAAGCACAUGGCUUUGACUAUCAAUAUUAAAUAAGCUUGGUUUAUUUUUUGUCUUACUGUAUGAAGAAGAAUUUGGGAUUUGACCAAAAAAAACAAAAAACAAGCUUCUCAUGAGUGAUAAAACACCUAUAUUUAUUAAUUCAAGAAG
rnacentral:sRNA from 1 species